rnacentral:rRNA from 1 species
AUGCAAUUGGCGGAGGAAGAUUCCGAGCGUGAUCGCUAUAAGGGAAUCCGCCUCGCCGACGAUGAAAGACCUGUCAAAGGACCCCUAAACUCUGUCUUACAACUGUAUCUCUGAGUCUAUUAUAUAAACAAGUUAAAACUUUCAACAACGGAUCUCUUGGCUCUGGCAUCGAUGAAGAACGCAGCGAAAUGCGAUAAGUAAUGUGAAUUGCAGAAUUCAGUGAAUCAUCGAAUCUUUGAACGCACAUUGCGCCUGAUAGUAUUCUGUCAGGCAUGCCUGUUCGAGCGUCAUUUCAACCCCCAAGCCCUAAUCUGCUUGACGUUGGGAGUUUACGGAGACGUAAUUCCUCAAAUAUAGUGGCGGAGCUAGGUCGUGCUCUAAGCGUAGUAACCACACUCUCGCUUCUGCAGCCGGCCUAGGUCUUGCCGUAAAACCCCUAUAUUAUUUUUUACUGGUUGACCUCGGAUCAGGUAGGAAUACCCGCUGAACUUAAGCAUAUCAUAACCCGAA